GGAUAAUGACAGUUUUUAAUGAAUCUAAUAAACCUCACUCGCUUCAUGGAGGAUAAUACCUCUAUUUUUACCUGGAGUUCAUAUGCACAUAUCAAUCUGUUUUAUCGUUCUUACAUGUGCUCGCAAAUAGCAGGUGCAUGUUCAUAAAUCGUCAAAGGGGUACAUAGAAGAAAAGAGAGAACAGAAAAUCUGAGAAGACUUUUCUGUUUCUAUUAAACUAUAUUCUUAAACCUGUUGCUAUUUGUUAUACAGUGUGACACCCCCAUACAGAAC